UACGGGGGGGGCAAGCGUUGUUCGGAAUUACUGGGCGUAAAGGGUUCGUAGGUGGCUUGCUAAGUCAGACGUGAAAUCCCUCAGCUUAACUGGGGAACUGCGUCUGAGACUGGUGAGCUUGAGUGCAGGAGAGGAACGCGGAAUUCCAGGUGUAGCGGUGAAAUGCGUAGAUAUCUGGAGGAACACCGGUGGCGAAGGCGGCAUCCUGGACCGACACUGACACUGAGGAGCGAAAGCCAGGGGAGCAAACGGG
rnacentral:rRNA from 1 species